AUACGGAGGGUCCGAGCGUUAUCCGGAAUCAUUGGGUUUAAAGGGUCCGUAGGCGGGAAUCUAAGUCAGUGGUGAAAUCUUGCAGCUCAACUGUAAAAUUGCCAUUGAUACUGGAUUUCUUGAAUUAGUGUGAAGUGGUUAGAAUGUGUAGUGUAGCGGUGAAAUGCAUAGAUAUUACACAGAAUACCAAUUGCGAAGGCAGAUCACUAACACUAUAUUGACGCUGAGGGACGAAAGCGUGGGGAGCGAACAGGAUUAGAAACCCUGGUAGUCC
rnacentral:rRNA from 1 species